rnacentral:rRNA from 1 species
UACGUAGGGUGCGAGCGUUGUCCGGAAUUACUGGGCGUAAAGAGCGCGCAGGCGGCUGGUCAAGUCCGAUGUGAAAGCUCCCGGCUUAACUGGGAAAUUGCAUCGGAAACUGAUCGGCUUGAAGGUGGGAGAGGGUAGUGGAAUUCCCGGUGUAGUGGUGAAAUGCGUAGAUAUCGGGAGGAACACCAGUGGCGAAGGCGACUACCUGGCCCACUCUUGACGCUGAGGCGCGAAAGCUAGGGGAGCGAACGGG